rnacentral:tRNA from 1 species
CCCCUAGUAGCUCAGAGGGUAAAGCAUCUGCUUUCAAUGCGGGAGACCCAGGUUCAAUCCCUGGGUCGGGAA